UUGAGUAAGAGUCUUAAGAGUUCUUGUAAUCUUUUGAGUGUUUCAAUAAUAAAGUUUAUCCCCUUGUAUAAAGAUCUUUCUUAUAUACUUACAUAAUCUUUUUCCAAAUACUUCCUAAACACUUAGCAUUGAUCCUAAAAACCUCCUAAGUGGAACCAGUUGCAUCACAAAGGAGCCAAAUCAAGGACCGAAGAGAUCUUCAGGAUUUAGUUCAGAAAAACAAGCUAGCCAAAGCUUCGCAACUCCUACUCUCUAUCUCUAAUUUGAAUUUGGAUUGUCUUCAUCUCUUGUUGUUACCUAUUGUUGAUGAUUGUAUUUAGAUUUUCAUUCAUUGUUGUAGGAGAAUUAUUUUACAAUUUAAGCUUAGUCGCAAUGAUUUUAGAAAACGGUAGUGAUAAUUUGGAUUCAUGAAAAUGAUUUUUUGUUUAUUUCGUGGUUGAUCGAGCUGAUCUGUAGCUUUUCGUUAUCUAAUUUGUUAUAUAAGAUCAUAUCCUUCAGUUGAUUAAUAGAAUAAUUGGUUACAUUUGUGGAGGAAGCUUAGAUUUUCAAUAUGGUGCUCUCUGGUUUUAACAAUGAGGUUAUUGACAUGUUGAUGAAACUGAUAUUGUAAUAGGGAUAAACUUGUCUUUGAUAUUUGCAGGACGAGCAAGCCAUGAGAGAAUGGUGAUGCAGAAUUGUCUAAACAUUUACGAGAGCUAGGUUCUUGUCUUCUGUCAAUGAACCCUCAUCAGAUGUGACUGACAAGGACAUAAUUGAUUUUGCUUUAGCACAAGAGCAUGGACAAGGUAUGGCUAAGAAAGGGACCGGAGAGAUUUACGAGCUUUGGUUCAAAAAUACAAGCUAGCCAAUGCUUCGCAACUCCCAAUCUCUAUAUCGUGUAACUUUGAUUUGCACAUGUCUCUGUUUCGACACAUGGAUUCAUGACUUUUAAAAUAAAAUAUUCAGGAAGGACUAUUUGUAAUUCAUGAUGGUCUUCAUGAAAAACUUAAAAAAACUUCAUGAAAAGGUUUAAAAUGAUAUAAAACGUAAAAAACGGGCUAUUAAAACUGUUUAUUGGAAAUAUGCUAUUAUUUUAGUCAUUCUUUAUGAUUUGCUUUGAGCUUCAACCUUUGACAUGUGAUCAUCUUACUUUUGUUGCCUUGAAAUUCCAGUAAUGGGUUCAUAGAGAUUUGCAUAAAGUUGAAACAUUUUUCUAUCUUAGAAUCCCUAAAACAUCUCACUUUCACUCUAUUUCACUUGAACUAAAACUCUUGACAACAAGAAUUGCUAUGGUUUUCACUAUCUUUUUUAGGAGUACAAGAGUUUAUGAAAUUUCUGCGUUUGUCAAUAAAUCGGGGCCAUAUCCUAUGCAUGUGUCAUGAAACAUUAUGUUCGGUCUAUAGAUGAUCGAACAAAUCGUCACUAUGUGUCGAUCAAAUUGAGAAUAAUUUAAUUCAGGAAAUUUUUUUUGAACUUUAUGAUAACCUUCAUAAAAUGUUUGGAUUUCAGGAUGACUUUCAUAAAAAUUAUGGAUAUUGGUAAACAGCAAGAUAUGCAUAAAUCUCCUUACUAAUGGAGUAAUUUUUGACAUAUUAAGGCAAACUCCAAAAAAGAGAGUUAGAAACACAUUUAUUUAAGUUUAGAAAGAAUUCAAUAAUAUUUAGGAAUGACACCUUGAAAUUCCAGGUAGCUUUCAUAAACAUAAAUUCAGUGAUGUUUAGGAAGGAUUCUUUGAAAUUUAAGAUGGUUUUCAUUAAAAGAAAAUGAGUUGUUUGGCACUAAGAGAGUGUAACAAAUAAGUCAAACUGGUUAACAAUAAACAUUAAUAUAGGUAAAACAAGGCUGGAUGCAAACAAAAUUAUUCAGGAAUGAUUGAAUGAUGUUUAGGAAGGAUCCUUUAAAAUUCAGGAGGUGAUCCGUCAACACAAGACAGGGGAAAAAGAACCAAUGUGGCUACAAAAGCUAGGAGUUGUAAGGAAGGGAUCAUUAAAGGACGUUUGUUAUGACAAUUAUUCUCCACAAUCGCUCGUUCCUCUAAAACCACUACAAGUUAUAAAUCUUGGAAGAGCUAAGCAGUAGAAGCCUAGAAGAUCUGAUAAGCUCCUCAUAAACGGUGGCUCAAAAUCAUUAUCUCCGUCGUCAACAUCGUCACGAUCUAUCGAUCCAGAAUGCUCACCACACACCAUUUGAUUACAGAGGAGAUCGAGAGAGAUUGAACUUAUCAAAUUCAUUAUCGUUGUGAAAACCCGAGCUCCAAACACAUGCUCUUUCCUCAAAAACAGAGCUUGUGGAUUCGUCGGAGAUUUUGUCCAUUUAACACAAGCCUAAGCAUCUUUGACUGAAUCUCCAACAUAUUCGUCGUUAAUUCCAAAUAUGGUUUGUGAAGAAGAAGAAGAAGAAAAAGAGAGAUUGAAAGCUUCACAUAAAUCAAAAUUGUAAGAUUCUUGUGAUUAUAAUUUGUUCUUUUUUCUCUUUCUCUCAUAAAUUUAAUAAUUAAUUUUAGAGUAAUAUUAUUAAUAUAAUAAAAGUG